AUCAAUAAGCGGAGGAAAAGAAACCAACAGGGAUUGCCCCAGUAACGGCGAGUGAAGCGGCAACAGCUCAAAUUUGAAAUCUGGCCCCAGGCCCGAGUUGUAAUUUGCAGAGGAUGCUUUUGGCGAGGUGCCUUCCGAGUUCCCUGGAACGGGACGCCAUAGAGGGUGAGAGCCCCGUCUGGUUGGAUACCGAGCCUCUGUAAAGCUCCUUCGACGAGUCGAGUAGUUUGGGAAUGCUGCUCAAAAUGGGAGGUAUAUGUCUUCUAAAGCUAAAUAUUGGCCAGAGACCGAUAGCGCACAAGUAGAGUGAUCGAAAGAUGAAAAGCACUUUGAAAAGAGGGUUAAAAAGUACGUGAAAUUGUUGAAAGGGAAGCGCCUAUGACCAGACUUGGGCCCGUUGAAUCAUCCAGCGUUCUCGCUGGUGCACUUCUUCGGGCACAGGCCAGCAUCAGUUUGGCUUGGGGGAAAAAGGCUUUGGGAACGUAGCUCCUCGGAGUGUUAUAGCCCUUUGCAUAAUACCCUGAGCCGGACUGAGGUUCGCGCAUCUGCAAGGAUGCUGGCGUAAUGGUCAUCAGCGACCCGUCUUGAAACACGGACCAAGGAGUCGUCUUCGUAUGCGAGUGUUCGGGUGUAAAACCCCUACGCGUAAUGAAAGUGAACGCAGGUGAGAGCUUCGGCGCAUCAUCGACCGAUCCUGAUGUUCUCGGAUGGAUUUGAGUAAGAGCAUACGGGGCCGGACCCGAAAGAAGGUGAACUAUGCCUGUAUAGGGUGAAGCCAGAGGAAACUCUGGUGGAGGCUCGCAGCGGUUCUGACGUGCGAAUCGAUCGUCAAAUAUGGGCAUGGGGGCGAAAGACUAAUCGAACCUUCUAGUAGCU
rnacentral:rRNA from 1 species